GGCAGCAAACUCUUGCGCGCAACACGCGCUCUACUCACCGGAGGGCAACAAACUCUUACGCACAACACGGGCUCUACUCACCGGAGGGCAGCAAACUCUUGCGCGCAACACGCGCUCUACUCGUGGGAGGGCAGCAAACUCUUACGCACAACAUGCGCUCUACUCACCAGAGGGUACCAAACUCUUGUGCGCAACACGCGCUCU
rnacentral:lncRNA from 1 species